UACGUAGGGUCCGAGCGUUGUCCGGAAUUAUUGGGCGUAAAGAGCUCGUAGGUGGUUUGUCGCGUCUGUCGUGAAAACCCACGGCUCAACUGUGGGCUUGCAGUCGAUACGGGCAGGCUAGAGUUCGGUAGGGGAGACUGGAAUUCCUGGUGUAGCGGUGAAAUGCGUAGAUAUCUGGAGGAACACCGGUGGCGAAGGCGGCAUCCUGGACCGGCAUUGACGCUGAGGCGCGAAAGCUAGGGGAGCAAACGGGG
rnacentral:rRNA from 1 species